CUCAGAUGUUUAUUCACUAAAUAAUACAUUUUCCACUUCCACCAUUCCUAAACUUUGCAAUUUGAAUUUUACUUUCCUACAUUUUGGUGGUUAAUGCUCCCAGUCUCUGAUCAUUCUUUAACUGUCCCUCUCCCCAUAGGCUUGAUUUCUUUCUCUUAGCAAUACCGUUGAUACACUUUCUUUCUCAUCAACUUUUCCUCCGUUUUUUUUUCUACCUCUGUUUACGCUUCUCUACUUAAUCUUUCCAGUCUGUUGAUUUUUGUUUUAAAAGUCUCCAUCUUACCUGAGUUGAAUACAUUUUCAGCUUUGCUAUUUUGACCUGAGUUUUAAAAGAGACACACACAAAUUGCCUAUUACACAAAUCACCUAACACAUACACACUGCUAAAUAAAUAAAUAAAUAAACAAACACACACAAAUUUGGGAAUGCACUGGAUUGGCUUCAAUCUCGAUGAUCUCAGGUAAUGAGGUGGGGGCCAGCCACGGACACUUGCGCUGUGAGGGAGAAAAGGCCAUAAAUACUAUUAUUUCUCCCUAAAGGUGGUGCAGGUAACCUAAAU